rnacentral:lncRNA from 1 species
ACAGAGCAGGGGGUGGGUGGAGGUGGAGCUGGAGGUCAAUUCUUUGGAUGAAAUCCUCCAGCCCCGCUUUGCCCUCCACCCUCCCACCAUCACCCAUGAUAAGCAUGGAGCAUCGUUCAGGACAGAAAAGAAGAAACUCCUUCACGCCAGGCUAUAUGCAUGUGGUAGUAUUUAUGCGUAAGGCAAAUAUCUAUCACUGUAAUGGCAAAGAUGACGAUUGAUCUGACUUUGUGAUAAUGCAUCGUUCUGAUCACACUGUGCCAUUGUUGAUAUAGAGUCUCCAGAGAAAACUACAAACAGAUAAAGAAGGCUGGCAGCUCAAUUUUAAUAGAGUCUUAGGAUGAAGAACAGUAAUAUUUGGGAGCAUCACCAACUAAUACUGGUGCCCAAGAGAACUUUCAAGAUAUGAGCC